UAGGGAAUCUUCCACAAUGGACGCAAGUCUGAUGGAGCAACGCCGCGUGAGUGAAGAAGGUCUUCGGAUCGUAAAGCUCUGUUGUUGGUGAAGAAGGAUAGAGGCAGUAACUGGUCUUUAUUUGACGGUAAUCAACCAGAAAGUCACGGCUAACUACGUGCCAGCAGCCGCGGUAAUACGUAGGUGGCAAGCGUUGUCCGGAUUUAUUGGGCGUAAAGCGAGCGCAGGCGGAAUGAUAAGUCUGAUGUGAAAGCCCACGGCUCAACCGUGGAACUGCAUCGGAAACUGUCAUUCUUGAGUGCAGAAGAGGAGAGUGGAACUCCAUGUGUAGCGGUGGAAUGCGUAGAUAUAUGGAAGAACACCAGUGGCGAAGGCGGCUCUCUGGUCUGCAACUGACGCUGAGGCUCGAAAGCAUGGGUAGCGAACAGGAUUAGAUACCCUGGUAGUCCAUGCCGUAAACGAUGAGCGCUAGGUGUUGGGGACUUUCCGGUCCUCAGUGCCGCAGCAAACGCAUUAAGCGCUCCGCCUGGGGAUACGACCGCAAGGUUGAAAC
rnacentral:rRNA from 1 species